ensembl:lncRNA
UUCACAUUCCCUUCUUAGAUUCGGUUGCCCUCUGAGAUUCAGUUUCCACAUGGACUUUGCUUCCCCACCUUUGGACUCCGUUUUACCCCCUCCUGGAUUUUCCCCACAUGGACUCAGUUCUACCAGAUUCUCACCAGCCCUGCUUCAGUCUCCAGCCUGUUUUUCCUGCCUCGCCUCCGUCUGCCCCUGGAUUCCCUCAGCCAGUCUUCCCCCUCUGUUGCCAGUUCCCCCGUCUUAGAGAAAAACUCCCAUAAUCUCCGUUCAGAGGCAGAUAGUGGAGGGGGACAUUUUUCAGGCCAACUGCAGCAUUAACUACUCCUGUCCUUCCUCACCUCCAUCCAUCCACUGGAAGAAAAGCUCAUCUCUGGAAAGCUCCACUUUCACCAGGGAAGUGCAAGGCCAGUGGUUAUAUAGAGAAACAAUGCACGGACUGGCAACAAAUGAAAUCCAUAACGGCAAACUGAGUUUUUCUGCACAGUUCAGAACCUUCACCACACAAAGUCAAGAAAUUACACUCAACAUUUUAUAUAAACCUGUUGCUGUAAGUCUGAAACUGGAAAACAAACCAGUGACAGAGGGUGGCAGCUCUGGUUAACUCCAAAGCUCAGCACAAGCAGCUGGUGGAGGAUCUCUGUCGCUCCUCCUUCAC